rnacentral:rRNA from 1 species
GAUGAACGCUGGCGGCGUGCCUAAUACAUGCAAGUCGAGCGAACGGACGAGCAUUUUGCUUUUCUGAUGUUAGCGGCGGAUGGGGAACUAACAAGUGGCAAACCUACCUAUUAGCCUGGGAUUGCUUCUGGAACCCGGAGCUAAUAUCGGAUAAUCUUUUGAACCGCAUGGUUCAAAAGUGAAAGACGGUCUUGCUGUCACUUAUUGUUGGUUCCGCGCUGCAUUAGCUAGUUGGUAAGGUAAUGGCUUACCAAGGCAACGAUGCAUAGCGGACCCGGGAGGGGGAUCGGGCACACUGAAACUGGGACACGGUCCCGGCUCAGACGGGAAGCAGCAGCAGGGGAUCGUCCGCAAUGGGCGAGAGCCGGACGGAGCAACGGCGCGGGAGUGAUGGAGGUCUCCGGAUCGUAAAAGUCUGUUAUUAGGGAAGAACAUAUGGGUAAGUAACUGUGCACAUCUUGACGGUACCUAAACAGAAAGCCACGGCUAACUACGUG